GUGCAGACUCGACAGUGUCUGCAUUUGCUGCCCUAGACAAGUGGCAGCGCCAACAGGAGGCUGGAAGUGACAGCGGGGAUUCUGUGGGAGAACAGCCACAGAAGCAAGGGAACGGGUACUUCACGGCUGAAGAAGAGAAGAACCUGACUGUGAAUGCCAAGGCGAAGAAGAGUGCCCCUACACUGC
rnacentral:snRNA from 1 species